rnacentral:snRNA from 1 species
UUGGCGGGAUCCCUCGCGG